rnacentral:rRNA from 1 species
CUACGGGUCGCUCCAGUGAGGAAUAUUGGUCAACGGCCGAGAGGCUGAACCAGCCAUCCCGCGUGCAGGAUGACGGCCCUAUGGGUUGUAAACUGCUUUUCUACGCCAAGAAAUCUGAUUACGUGUAAUUAGUUGACGGUAGCGUAGGAAUAAGCAUCGGCUAACUCCGUGCCAGCAGUCGCGGUAAUACGGAGGAUGCAAGCGUUAUCCGGAUUCAUUGGGUUUAAAGGGUGCGCAGGCGGGCUUGUAAGUCAGUGGUGAAAUACUGCCGCUUAACGGUAGAGCUGCCAUUGAUACUGAAAGUCUUGAAUAUGGUUGAGGUAGGCGAACUGUGUUGUGUAGCGGUGAAAUGCAUAGAUAUGACACGGAACGCCGAUUGCGAAGGCAGCUUACUAAGCCAUUAUUGACGCUGAGGCACGAAAGCGUGGGGAGCGAACAGGAUUAGAUACCCCCGUAGUC